GAGUACAGCUGGUUCCCAGGGAGGCUGGGGGUGAUUCACCACACUCUUAAAACAAGACUAGCCUCGUUUCCUCCCCAGCUCAAGGGGUAGAUUCCUCUGCUCUGGCAGCAGAUCUCCCAGAGGGAGCGGCCUGACCACGUCACUGGCCCAGAAGAGGAGGCGUCUGUCCCCCAGACUAGCUGAAGGAAAGGCUGGCUUGGAUGAUGCUCUGCUCUCCCCUUGCCCUUCUCCUGGGCACUUUCUUCGGGGUCAGAUCUCAGACUAUUCAUCAAUGGCCAGCGACCCUGGUGCAGCCUGUGGGCAGCCGGCUCUCUCUGGAGUGCACUGUGGAGGGAACAUCAAACCCCAACCUAUACUGGUACCGACAGGCUGCAGGCAGGGGCCUCCAGCUGCUCUUCUACUCCGUUGGUGUUGGCCAGAUCAGCUCUGAGGUGCCCCAGAAUCUCUCAGCCUCCAGGCCCCAGGACAGGCAGUUCAUCCUGAGUUCUAAGAAGCUCCUCCUUAGUGACUCUGGCUUCUAUCUCUGUGCCUGGAGUGUCACACUGAGCUGGGAGAGCUUCCAGGAUUUGCAUCUGAUUUUGCAGAUGUGCCAGGAUGACUAUGUCCAUACGUCUACUUCCCUGGCCAGUUGCACAUGGAAGAUUCAGGGCCACAUGCUGGUGGCCAGAGGCACUGUCCCCAAGAUGCUUCACAUAGAUCUUAGCCACCCACGGGACUUAUAA